rnacentral:rRNA from 1 species
GAUGAACGCUGGCGGCGUGCCUAAUACAUGCAAGUCGAGCGAACGGACGAGAAGCUUGCUUCUCUGAUGUUAGCGGCGGACGGGUGAGUAACACGUGGAUAACCUACCUAUAAGACUGGGAUAACUUCGGGAAACCGGAGCUAAUACCGGAUAAUAUUUUGAACCGCAUGGUUCAAAAGUGAAAGACGGUCUUGCUGUCACUUAUAGAUGGAUCCGCGCUGCAUUAGCUAGUUGGUAAGGUAACGGCUUACCAAGGCAACGAUGCAUAGCCGACCUGAGAGGGUGAUCGGCCACACUGGAACUGAGACACGGUCCAGACUCCUACGGGAGGCAGCAGUAGGGAAUCUUCCGCAAUGGGCGAAAGCCUGACGGAGCAACGCCGCGUGAGUGAUGAAGGUCUUCGGAUCGUAAAACUCUGUUAUUAGGGAAGAACAUAUGUGUAAGUAACUGUGCACAUCUUGACGGUACCUAAUCAGAAAGCCACGGCUAACUACGUGCCAGCAGCCGCGGUAAUACGUAGGUGGCAAGCGUUAUCCGGAAUUAUUGGGCGUAAAGCGCGCGUAGGCGGUUUUUUAGUCUGAUGUGAAAGCCCACGGCUCAACCGUGGAGGGUCAUUGGAAACUGGAAAACUUGAGUGCAGAAGAGGAAAGUGGAAUUCCAUGUGUAGCGGUGAAAUGCGCAGAGAUAUGGAGGAACACCAGUGGCGAAGGCGACUUUCUGGUCUGUAACUGACGCUGAUGUGCGAAAGCGUGGGGAUCAAACAGGAUUAGAUACCCUGGUAGUCCACGCCGUAAACGAUGAGUGCUAAGUGUUAGGGGGUUUCCGCCCCUUAGUGCUGCAGCUAACGCAUUAAGCACUCCGCCUGGGGAGUACGACCGCGAGGUUGAAACUCAAAGGAAUUGACGGGGACCCGCACAAGCGGUGGAGCAUGUGGUUUAAUUCGAAGCAACGCGAAGAACCUUACCAAAUCUUGACAUCCUUUGACAACUCUAGAGAUAGAGCCUUCCCCUUCGGGGGACAAAGUGACAGGUGGUGCAUGGUUGUCGUCAGCUCGUGUCGUGAGAUGUUGGGUUAAGUCCCGCAACGAGCGCAACCCUUAAGCUUAGUUGCCAUCAUUAAGUUGGGCACUCUAAGUUGACUGCCGGUGACAAACCGGAGGGAGGUGGGGAUGACGUCAAAUCAUCAUGCCCCUUAUGAUUUGGGCUACACACGUGCUACAAUGGACAAUACAAAGGGCAGCGAAACCGCGAGGUCAAGCAAAUCCCAUAAAGUUGUUCUCAGUUCGGAUUGUAGUCUGCAACUCGACUACAUGAAGCUGGAAUCGCUAGUAAUCGUAGAUCAGCAUGCUACGGUGAAUACGUUCCCGGGUCU